GACGUAGGGCGCGAGCGUUGUCCGGAUUUAUUGGGCGUAAAGAGCUCGUAGGCGGCUUGUCGCGUCGACUGUGAAAACCCGCGGCUCAACUGCGGGCCUGCAGCCGAUACGGGCAGGCUAGAGUUCGGUAGGGGAGACUGGAAUUCCUGGUGUAGCGGUGAGAUGCGCAGAUAUCAGGAGGAACACCGGUGGCGAAGGCGGUCUGCUGGGCCGAGUUGCUGACAGCU
rnacentral:rRNA from 1 species